rnacentral:rRNA from 1 species
ACGAAGAUACUUAAAAUGAGAGCUUCGGCAGGAUUUUUAUUUAUCUUAGUGGCGGACGGGUGAGUAACGUGUGGGCAACCUGCCCUAUACUGGGGAAUAAUCACUGGAAACGGUGACUAAUACCGCAUGUCAUUACGGAAGGGCAUCCUUCUGUAAGAAAAGGAGUAAUUCGGUAUAGGAUGGGCCCGCAUCUGAUUAGCUAGUUGGUGAGAUAACAGCCCACCAAGGCGACGAUCAGUAGCCGACCUGAGAGGGUGAUCGGCCACAUUGGGACUGAGACACGGCCCAAACUCCUACGGGAGGCAGCAGUGGGGAAUAUUGCACAAUGGGGGAAACCCUGAUGCAGCAACGCCGCGUGAAGGAAGAAGGUUUUCGGAUCG